UAAAUAAUGCUAACACGCACGUAUUAGCUUGCUAUGAUAUAUUAAUAGCUAGAUAGAUAGCGAUAAUGCAAUAGACCAGACUCCCCCUAUAUCGUUGACUUUCGGUCGGCAAGGUGGUUACCAUAGGUUUUCAAAUGCCGACACGCGCUUCGCGCCAAAUAAACAGGGGCAACGUCGUAUCGUGCGACGCAAACUCGUCAACGUCGAUGUGCGCUUCCGAUGAUGAUGCCCUCCAUCUUUGGCGCCGAAAAGUGUAUUUGUGAGCCGCCAAGCGCGCUCGCCGUCCUCACUGGGCGCCAUAGGAAAAAAAAGCACCCGCGACCCUGUUUUAGUCAAAAUAAAGUCAACGAGUCAACAAAUCACGAGUCAACGAUAUGGAGUCGGUUCCAUUGAUCAAUCAAGCAAUAUUCACCUUCGUUCGUUCAUCAUCAUCCCUGAUAGGAUCUGACGAAGGUACCUUCGUAAUUGACCGUUGCACAAAGGCUUCGCACCUUCGCAUCCGUCACCAAACCUCUACGUGGCGAGAGUGACCUGUUUAAAUUAGCAGGGCUGCUCGAAAGACAGGUUCGACUCCCCGAAAAUCUGACCACUCUCAGCGGAAGACGGACUGCAAAUAACUAUUUGAAUCAGCGUUCGCUUCCGAUAAAGAUGAGAACGACAGCUGAGGGUGUCGUCACCAACCUGAAGGAGUUGCACGACGACAAUAUCUUCCGUACUCGCAUCCUUUCAGGUGACAAUCGGUGAGCGCUCAGCAGCAUGACGCUCUUUCCUAGUAGCCUCCCGGUGUAAGGAAGGUCACUUCGCGUUUUCCGACAAAACGUUCCCCGACUUCCGACCCGUGCAGUUGUGCCGAUCCGUAUAGAUUUGAUUCCAGCUAGUACAAGAAAUCAAAUACUGACCUCGCAUGUUCCCUUUCAGCGCGUGGUUGCAGCGGCGAGAGUCAAAAGUUGCGUUGAGAAAGGAGCGGAAACGGUAAUUCUCAUUUCUCUGAUAUCUUCAGCUUGCUUUCAAUGACUUUUGUCUUGCGCUUGCGCUUGUGGUAUUCUCAGGAAAAAUGACAAUUCCGACGGAGAAAAAGAAAAUCUUGAAAGGGAAGGUACAUUAGACGGCAGAUGUCAGUCAGGAAGAAUCUUCCAAGAGAAAACCGAUCAUCUGCAACAUGGAAUUAUGGAUUCGACGAU
rnacentral:lncRNA from 1 species